rnacentral:rRNA from 1 species
UACGAAGGUGGCAAGCGUUACUCGGAAUUACUAGGCGUAAAGGGCAGGUAGGUGGUUUGGUAAGUCUGUUGUGUAAGCUCCCGGCUUAACUGGGAGAGGUCAACAGAAACUACCAGACUUGAGUAUAGGAGAGGGUACUGGAAUUCCCGGUGUAGCGGUGAAAUGCGCAGAGAUCGGGAGGAACACCAAUGGCGAAGGCGACUACCUGGCCUGUUCUUGACGCUGAGGCGCGAAAGCUAGGGGAGCAAACGGG